rnacentral:rRNA from 1 species
UACGAAGGGUGCAAGCGUUACUCGGAAUUACUGGGCGUAAAGCGUGCGUAGGUGGUUGUUUAAGUCUGUUGUGAAAGCCCUGGGCUCAACCUGGGAACUGCAGUGGAAACUGGACAACUAGAGUGUGGUAGAGGGUAGCGGAAUUCCCGGUGUAGCAGUGAAAUGCGUAGAGAUCGGGAGGAACAUCCAUGGCGAAGGCAGCUACCUGGACCAACACUGACACUGAGGCACGAAAGCCAGGGGAGCGAACGGG